GCUUCUGUGGCGCAAUCGGCUAGCGCGUCUGACUGUUAAUCAGGAGGUUGGUGGUUCAAGCCCACCCAGGAGCG
rnacentral:tRNA from 1 species